UGUUGGAGCGAGCCUGCUCGCGAUGGCGGUGUGUCAGUCAUCCAUGCGUUGACUGACCGGCCACCAUCGCGAGCAGGCUCGCUCCCACA
rnacentral:misc_RNA from 1 species